UGCAGUCGAGGGGCAGCAUUUCAGUUUGCUUGCAAACUGGAGAUGGCGACCGGCGCACGGGUGAGUAACACGUAUCCAACCUGCCGAUAACUCGGGGAUAGCCUUUCGAAAGAAAGAUUAAUACCCGAUGGUAUAAUNANACCGCAUGGUCUUGUUAUUAAAGAAUUUCGGUUAUCGAUGGGGAUGCGUUCCAUUAGGCAGUUGGUGAGGUAACGGCUCACCAAACCUUCGAUGGAUAGGGGUUCUGAGAGGAAGGUCCCCCACAUUGGAACUGAGACACGGUCCAAACNNNNNNGGGAGGCAGCAGUGAGGAAUAUUGGUCAAUGGGCGCAGGCCUGAACCAGCCAAGUAGCGUGAAGGAUGACUGCCCUAUGGGUUGUAAACUUCUUUUAUAUGGGAAUAAAGUUUUCCACGUGUGGAAUUUUGUAUGUACCAUAUGAAUAAGGAUCGGCUAACUCCGUGCCAGCAGCCGCGGUAAUACGGAGGAUCCGAGCGUUAUCCGGAUUUAUUGGGUUUAAAGGGAGCGUAGGUGGACAGUUAAGUCAGUUGUGAAAGUUUGCGGCUCAACCGUAAAAUUGCAGUUGAUACUGGCUGUCUUGAGUACAGUAGAGGUGGGCGGAAUUCGUGGUGUAGCGGUGAAAUGCUUAGAUAUCACGAAGAACUCCGAUUGCGAAGGCAGCUCACUGGACUGCAACUGACACUGAUGCUCGAAAGUGUGGGUAUCAAACAGGAUUAGAUACCCUGGUAGUCCACACAGUAAACGAUGAAUACUCGCUGUUUGCGAUAUACAGUAAGCGGCCAAGCGAAAGCAUUAAGUAUUCCACCUGGGGAGUACGCCGGCAACGGUGAAACUCAAAGGAAUUGACGGGGGCCCGCACAAGCGGAGGAACAUGUGGUUUAAUUCGAUGAUACGCGAGGAACCUUACCCGGGCUUAAAUUGCAUUUGAAUAUAUUGGAAACAGUAUAGCCGUAAGGCAAAUGUGAAGGUGCUGCAUGGUUGUCGUCAGCUCGUGCCGUGAGGUGUCGGCUUAAGUGCCAUAACGAGCGCAACCCUUAUCUUUAGUUACUAACAGGUCAUGCUGAGGACUCUAGAGAGACUGCCGUCGUAAGAUGUGAGGAAGGUGGGGAUGACGUCAAAUCAGCACGGCCCUUACGUCCGGGGCUACACACGUGUUACAAUGGGGGGUACAGAAGGCAGCUACCUGGUGACAGGAUGCUAAUCCCAAAAGCCUCUCUCAGUUCGGAUCGAAGUCUGCAACCCGACUUCGUGAAGCUGGAUUCGCUAGUAAUCGCGCAUCAGCCAUGGCGCGGUGAAUACGUUCCCGGGCCUUGUACACACCGCCCGUCAAGCCAUGAAAGCCGGGGGUACCUGAAGUACGUAACCGCAA
rnacentral:rRNA from 2 species